AGCGCACCCAGUUUGCAUGGCAAGUCGGCGGAUGACACUUAUAUCCAGUUGAAAAAGGAUUUGGAGUAUUUGGAUCUAAAGGUGACAGGGCGUGACUUGUUAAAGGAACGAAGUACAAAACCUGUCAAGAUUGCAGAAAGUGAUAUUGAUGUCAAGCUAAGCAUUUUCUGUGAGCAGGACAGAAUUCUGCAGGACUUGGAGGACAAAAUAAGAGCCCUUAAGGAAAAUAAAGAUCAGCUGGAAUCUGUUUUGGAGGUUUUACACAGGCAGCUGGAACAGUACAAAGAGCAACCGCAACAUGCAGAAAAAAUUUCUUACCAGCAGAGACUUUUGCAGGAGGAUCUCAUACAUAUUCGGGCUGAAAUAUCCAAAGUUUCAAC